rnacentral:ribozyme from 12 species
UGUUGGGCAAGGGCGGAAAAGGAGGCAAGGGCGGGAAGGGCAACUCCACCGGCAAAGGAAACUCAACCGGAAAGGGCAAGGGCGGAAAGGGAAACCCCUUCAUGCUCGAAUCCUGCGAGUGCCCGGAGAGCUUGUUGG